CGUUAUGGAGUUAUCGUCAGGGCCGAACUAACAAAGCUUAAUAAUAUAAAAUCUUAAAAAAACUAUGUUAAUUAAUCCAUCCCUGAAUUGGAAACCAAAAUUUCAUAUGGUGUGUAGGUAACAAUUGCAAGUGGAAGUAAUAGUUGAAACAACCUAUUUUCCCUCAUGCAUAUAUAACUUGAUGUGGUACGAGGGUAGCUAAACUAACAAUAACGAGGAGCCAAGCAUGUCAAUUUCGUUUGAAAACAAAGUUGUCUAUGACGUCAUAAAGACCCAAUACUUUAUUAUUUUGUUUGAUAAUUGCCAAGGAUUUCACACAUAAUCCCCUCCCCCAUUACCCCCAAGUGAAUCCAUCCCACUACUACACAAGAUAGUACUUCUUUCCCUCUGAGUUAACAAUGAAAGCAUAUUUUUUACAGAUCUCUGCAAUAUUAUGUUUACAAGUUCCUUGAAGAUAUGAUUAUAAUAAAUGGUGACAGAUGUCUGUACAUUGUAGAGUAUUUUGUACAUAUUUUGUACUUACUGAGGCCAAAUAAAAAUAAUAGUUGGUUUCAGGUUUCACAGCCAUGUUUUAUAUGGGUAGGUAGGUCAGAAAAGCAUUUUAUUUAAAAAAUAUUUUAUCUCAAGUAUGCAAUAAAUAUAAGUUGUUUAUGAGUAACUGUCACACAUAAUCAGACAUGCCACGCGGGAUCACCCGCGAGCUACACAUGUUUUGCGAGAAACAAACGCAUCAAGGAUUAACAUGACUAGAUAAUGAUUAAAUUAUGAGCAAACAAAAUAAUUUGUAGCAAAUGAGUCUGAUGACUAUUUAUAUAUUCUGAUAUUUACGAAAAGAU